rnacentral:rRNA from 1 species
AGGGGGCCAUCCCGGCUUACCAACCCGAUGCAAACUGCGAAUACCGGAGAAUGUUAUCACGGGAGACACACGGCGGGUGCUAACGUCCGUCGUGAAGAGGGAAACAACCCAGACCGCCAGCUAAGGUCCCAAAGUCAUGGUUAAGUGGGAAACGAUGUGGGAAGGCCCAGACAGCCAGGAUGUUGGCUUAGAAGCAGCCAUCAUUUAAAGAAAGCGUAAUAGCUCACUGGUCGAGUCGGCCUGCGCGGAAGAUGUAACGGGGCUAAACCAUGCACCGAAGCUGCGGCAGCGACACUGUGUGUUGUUGGGUAGGGGAGCGUUCUGUAAGCCUGUGAAGGUGUGUCGUGAGGCAUGCUGGAGGUAUCAGAAGUGCGAAUGCUGACAUAAGUAACGAUAAAGCGGGUGAAAAGCCCGCUCGCCGGAAGACCAAGGGUUCCUGUCCAACGUUAAUCGGGGCAGGGUGAGUCGACCCCUAAGGCGAGGCCGAAAGGCGUAGUCGAUGGGAAACGGGUUAAUAUUCCCGUACUUGGUGUUACUGCGAAGGGGGGACGGAGAAGGCUAUGUUGGCCGGGCGACGGUUGUCCCGGUUUAAGCGUGUAGGUGUGUGUUCCAGGUAAAUCCGGUUCACUUUAACACUGAGGCGUGACGACGAGGCACUACGGUGCUGAAGCAACAAAUGCCCUGCUUCCAGGAAAAGCCUCUAAGCAUCAGGUAACAUCAAAUCGUACCCCAAACCGACACAGGUGGUCAGGUAGAGAAUACCAAGGCGCUUGAGAGAACUCGGGUGAAGGAACUAGGCAAAAUGGUGCCGUAACUUCGGGAGAAGGCACGCUGACACGUAGGUGAAGUGAUUUACUCACGGAGCUGAAGUCAGUCGAAGAUACCAGCUGGCUGCAACUGUUUAUUAAAAACACAGCACUGUGCAAACACGAAAGUGGACGUAUACGGUGUGACGCCUGCCCGGUGCCGGAAGGUUAAUUGAUGGGGUCAGCGCAAGCGAAGCUCCUGAUCGAAGCCCCGGUAAACGGCGGCCGUAACUAUAACGGUCCUAAGGUAGCGAAAUUCCUUGUCGGGUAAGUUCCGACCUGCACGAAUGGCGUAAUGAUGGCCAGGCUGUCUCCACCCGAGACUCAGUGAAAUUGAACUCGCUGUGAAGAUGCAGUGUACCCGCGGCAAGACGGAAAGACCCCGUGAACCUUUACUAUAGCUUGACACUGAACAUUGAGCCUUGAUGUGUAG